rnacentral:rRNA from 1 species
UUUCUAUAGGAAAAAUUCCUCACUCAUAAAGCACUGCAACGCCUAAUCAUUUUUUUGAAAGAAUCGGUUAGGUUAUAAAUGCAGAAAUUAAAUACUAAACAAUGUCUUAUCGGGGGCGUUGUGAAAAUUGGAGUGUUUUAUGAGUGAGGAAUGAUGGUACUGUAGGAAUAAGGAGCUGCUAACCUCGUGCCAGCAGCCGCGGUAAUACGAGGGCUCCAAGCGUUAUCCGGAUUUAUUGGGCGUAAAGAGUGCGUAGGAGGUUUAGUGCGUUUGUUGUUAAAUUCCAGAGCUCAACUCUGGAGCUGCAACGAAUACGGCUAAACUAGAGUGCGCGAGAGGCUGAUGGAACUCACGGUGUAGGGGUGAAAUCCGUUGAUAUCGUGGGGAACACCAAAGGCGAAGGCAUUCAGCUGGCGCGUUACUGACUCUAAAGCACGAAAGCGUGGGGAGCAAAAAGGAUCGUUCGAUCAUUUUUGCGCAUCAGCGCGUUGUUGUAUUUCUAUGAGAACCGCGGUUCUCUUGCUCUAGCGGCAAGAGCCCGCUACACCUCGGCAGAAAAAUUUGUUCCGCAGCGCGGAACAAAAACAAGCUUUUUCUGCCUGCGGAGUUUCUCUACGAAACACACCAACACGCUUUUAUGAUGCGACAAAAAUAAUCUCACUCUCUUUAGGGUAUAAAGAAGUGACUCCGGAAUUUUUUCGGAGACGCACAUGGUCCCUUUCGAUGGCAACAUCGAAAUGAAAAAUCGGCUAUAUGCUGGAAAAUCCGGUGUAUCUGACGUUACCAGCGAUUUGUUUUUAAAUUUAAAAACAAAUCGCUGGUGAAAAUGCGUCAGUGCGGACAACCAGCAGGGAAGUUAAAAAGGAGGUACGAUGCCAAAGUCAAAAGCUAGAUUUGUAGAAAUUGUGAGUAGCAGUAAAUCAGAUGAUAAAUUAAAAACAGUUUUAGAAAUCGCGAAUAAAGAAUUGAAAGAUAAAGGAUUGCCAUCUGUAGUAGCAAUUUAUAAAACUGCUGAUCGCAAAAAGAGACAUGGAUAUUCAACGAAUGAUGUUUUGAAAGAAUCGGAUUUUAAAUUAGUUGACCGCAUUGUAAAAAAACACCUCAAAAAGUUAGUAGGAAAGUAAUUAACCCCUCAGAGACUAUACGCCGAUUCUCGCUCUUUGAUCUGCGGGUAUCAAGAUGAUUGAUAUCCGUUUUUCAAAGCGCGAGAAUGAUAUAGUCCGAACUGCAUAGCGAUAUGCAGAGGCAAGCAGAAAUGCCUUGCCCGGUAAUAAAGUUUGGAAUUUGUUAUUUCAAAAUUGUUUAGAAAUUAGACANNNNNNNNNNNNNNNNNNNNNNNNNNNNNNNNNNNNNNNNNNNNNNNNNNNNNNNUAGUCCACGCCCUAAACGAUGUUCACUAGCUAUCUCGAGUAUCGACCCUCGGGGUGGCGAAGCUAACGCAUUAAGUGAACCGCCUGGGAAGUACGGCCGCAAGGCUAAAACUCAAAGGAAUAGACGGGGACUCGCACAAGCGGUGGAGCAUGAGGUUUAAUUCGAUAGUAAACGAAGAACCUUACCAGGGCUUGAAAUCCCGAUGAAGUUUUUCCGAAAGGAGGAACGUCUUUUACAAGACAUCGGGACAGGUGUUGCAUGGUUGCCGUCAGCUCGUAUCGUGAGACGUUCCCUUAGGUGGGGUAACGAGCGCAACCCCUAUCCGAUGUUAUAUAUGUCAUCGGAAACCGCCCAGCCCUAGUUUUACUGCCGACGUUAUUAUAGUUGCUAACGUAUGGCGGUGUAGUAAGCACAUUUUCUUUGUUGAGAAUGUUGUUUGUAAAACUAGGGCUGGGAGGAAGGCGGGGAUGACGUCAAAUCCGCAUGACCCUCUGAUGUCCUGGGCUACACUCAUGCUACAAUGGCCGGUACAAUGGGUUGCGAAGUCGCAAGACGGAGCUAAUCCCAUCAAAACCGGUCCCAGUUCGGAUUGGGGUCUGCAAUUCGACCCCAUGAAGUUGGAAUCGCUAGUAAUCGCGGAUCAGCUAUGCCGCGGUGAAUACGUUCUCGAGUCCUGUACUCACUGCCCGUCAAAUCAAGGGAGCCGGGAAUAGGUGAAGCCCCGCCCAAAGCCCGUAGGGCUUUGGGAAAUUAGAAAUUC